rnacentral:rRNA from 1 species
AUACGGAGGGUGCAAGCGUUAUCCGGAAUCACUGGGUUUAAAGGGUGCGUAGGCGGUCCGACAAGUCAGAGGUGAAAUACACGAGCUUAACUGGUGAAUUGCCUUUGAAACUGUCGAGCUAGAAUCAUGUUGAGGUCAGCGGAAUGAGUCAUGUAGCGGUGAAAUGCAUAGAUAUGACUUAGAACACCAAUUGCGUAGGCAGCUGGCUAGGCAUUAAUUGACGCUGAGGCACGAAAGCGUGGGGAGCGAACAGGAUUAGAAACCCUUGUAGUCC